UACGGAGGGUGCAAGCGUUAAUCGGAAUUACUGGGCGUAAAGCGCACGUAGGCGGUUUGACAAGUGGGAUGUGAAAGCCCUGGGCUCAACCUGGGAACUGCAUCCCAAACUGUCAGGCUAGAGUAUGGUAGAGGGGGGCGGAAUUCCCGGUGUAGCGGUGAAAUGCGUAGAGAUCGGGAGGAACAUCAGUGGCGAAGGCGGCCCCCUGGACUGAUACUGACGCUGAGGUGCGAAAGCGUGGGGAUCAAACAGGAUUAGAAACCCUAGUAGUCC
rnacentral:rRNA from 1 species